rnacentral:lncRNA from 1 species
GGGAACAUGACCAUGGUACACACCUGUGCACUAGGCUGUGUCCUCCACAUGGUUGAGACACACAUCCGUGUCUAUGCACGUGUGGUUACUACUGGGUAGUCUAUUUUGCCAACUUUAGGUGCAGGGAACACAUGGCCUUUCCACACGCCCAUGGGGCAAGCCGUGUGUCACACAUGGUUUAGGCUCACGCCCGUGUGUCUUCCCAUGUGGCCAAAAAUAAGGCUAUUUACCAAGCCUUUUUAUCACCCUUACUUGCACCAACCUACACAACAUC